rnacentral:rRNA from 1 species
AUUGAACGCUGGCGGCAGGCCUAACACAUGCAAGUCGAACGAGUGGCGGACGGGUGUGUAAUGUCUGGGACACUGCCUGAUGGAGGGGGAUAACUACUGGAACCGGUAGCUAAUCCCGCAUACCAUCAGAUGUGCCCAGAUGGGAUUAGCUAGUAGGUGGGGUAAAGGCUCACCUAGGCGACGAUCCCUAGCUGGUCUGAGCGGAUGACCAGCCACACUGGAACUGAGACACGGUCCAGACUCCUACGGGAGGCAGCAGUGGGGAAUAUUGCACAAUGGGCGCAAGCCUGAUGCAGCCAUGCCGCGUGUAGGAAGAAGGCCGUCGGGUUGUAAAGUACUUUCAGCGGGGAGGCGUUACCCGCAGAAGAAGCACCGGCUAACUCCGUGCCAGCAGCCGCGGUAAUUC